AAUGUUCUAUGGAAUUGGCAAAAAGACGUUCAACUUAGGCUAAAAACUCAAGCUUUCGUGGUAGUGGCAGCUUUGUGUUGGGUGGUUUGGCUACGUAGGAUGAUGCAACCAAUACUAUUUGUUUAUUGCAUGUAAUUUUCAGGAGGACUUUUUGGACACGACUGUGGUCGGUGCUGCUUAAGGAACAUAGCCAGAAGAUAAAAGAAUGGUGAAACAUUACAGAUAUCUUUGUUAAUUUUUUUAGAGAAGGGUAUUUUACUGAAUAUAUGCAGCUAUUUUUUUUUAUUUUAGAAACUCUGGGAACUUAGCCCAAGUAGGGAUCUAGCCCCUCAAAUACCCAAAUUCAUGCUCCUAUGGAGAUUUGAACCAAAGACCUUGGGUGCUACUCAGGUCACUAUAACCACUAGGCUAUGUACCCUUU
rnacentral:lncRNA from 1 species